rnacentral:ncRNA from 1 species
UUAUUGGAGAGUUUGAUCCUGGCUCAGGACGAACGCUGGCGGCGUGCCUAAUACAUGCAAGUCGAGCGGAUCCUCGUGCUUCCUUCGGGAAGCACUG